rnacentral:rRNA from 1 species
UGAUCUAGCCAUGCCGCGUGAGUGAUGAAGGCCCUAGGGUCGUAAAGCUCUUUCGCCAGGGAUGAUAAUGACAGUACCUGGUAAAGAAACCCCGGCUAACUCCGUGCCAGCAGCCGCGGUAAUACGGAGGGGGUUAGCGUUGUUCGGAAUUACUGGGCGUAAAGCGCACGUAGGCGGACUAUUAAGUCAGGGGUGUUAUCCCGGGGCUCAACCCCGGAACUGCCCUUGAUACUGGUAGUCUUGAGUUCGAGAGAGGUGAGUGGAAUUCCGAGUGUAGAGGUGAAAUUCGUAGAUAUUCGGAGGAACACCAGUGGCGAAGGCGGCUCACUGGCUCGAUACUGACGCUGAGGUGCGAAAGUGUGGGGAGCAAACAGGAUUAGAUACCCCUGGUAGAUAC